AGAAUAAGGCCAUUGCAUGUCUAAGUAUAAGCAAUUAUACAGCGAAACUGCGAAUGGCUCAUUAAAUCCGUUAUCGUUUAUUUGAUAGUACCUUACUACAUGGAUAACCGUGGUAAUUCUAGAGCUAAUACAUGCUGAAAACCCCGACUUCGGAAGGGGUGUAUUUAUUAGAUUAAAAACCAAUGCCCUCCGGGGCUUACUGGUGAUUCAUGAUAACUUCUCGAAUCGCACGGCCUUGCGCCGGCGAUGGUUCAUUCAAAUUUCUGCCCUAUCAACUUUCGACGGCUGGGUCUUGGCCAGCCGUGGUGACAACGGGUAACGGAGGGUUAGGGCUCGACCCCGGAGAAAACGCCUGAGAAACGGCGUUUACAUCCAAGGAAGGCAGCAGGCGCGCAAAUUACCCAAUGCCGACACGGCGAGGUAGUGACGAGAAAUACUGAUACAGGGCUCUUUUGGGUCUUGUAAUUGGAAUGAGUACAAUUUAAAUCCCUUAACGAGGAACAAUUGGAGGGCAAGUCUGGUGCCAGCAGCCGCGGUAAUUCCAGCUCCAAUAGCGUAUAUUAAAGUUGUUGCAGUUAAAAAGCUCGUAGUUGAACCUUGGGCCUGGCUGGCCGGUCCGCCUCACCGCGUGCACUGGUCCGGCCGGGCCUUUCCCUCUGGGGAACCCCAUGCCCUUCACUGGGCGUGGCGGGGAACCAGGACUUUUACUUUGAAAAAAUUAGAGUGUUCAAAGCAGCCUAUGCUCGAAUACAUUAGCAUGGAAUAAUAGAAUAGGACGUGCGGUUCUAUUUUGUUGGUUUCUAGGACCGCCGUAAUGAUUAAUAGGGACAGUCGGGGCGUCAGUAUUCAAUUGUCAGAGGUGAAAUUCUUGGGAUUUAUUGAAGACUAACUACUGCGAAAGCAUUCGCCA
rnacentral:rRNA from 1 species